GUAUUGGAGAAAAUGGUGUUGGUUUUAGCUAUAGGAGACCUUCACAUACCUCACAGGGCUGCGGAUCUCCCUCCGAAGUUCAAGUCCAUGCUUGUUCCUGGCAAGAUUCAGCACAUCAUUUGCACUGGCAAUCUCUGCAUUAAAGUAAUUAUCUCUCUUUCCUAUUGAGUUAAUUAUAUUUGUGUACAAGGUUACACUUUUUUGGAGUUAAUUUCUUCCUCGGAUUUCAAGCUGUUAAUAUGGUUUGUUUUUCCUUUCUUGUUUAAAGUUGAUCAUUUUUUCAUUGUAAUUUAAUUAUGUUAGUGAUGAUCAAACUGCUACUAUAACUUUUGCUUCAUCUUCUCGAUUUACCUUUGAAGAACCAAAAUUUGUUUCUUAGUUGAAUUAGGGGACUUUUUACCCCCAAUAUAUUUGUUUGUAUCAACAAUGAAAGUUAGUAGAGGCUAUUGUUUUGAGCAAGUUUGUGGGCUGUUUUCUUCAAUAUGUCUGGCAUAAUUUUAUGAGACGUUCUCUAACUUUAGUUGUUUCUCUAAUCAAGCUCUCCAACUUUAAUUUUAUCAAUUAGAUGCAUGAACUUUUUUCAGAACAUCGGUUUACGUCCUUAAUUCUUGGAAUGUUAAGCACCAGAAGAGUGAUGACACAUCUUCUUUCUCAAGUCCCAACAAAGCCACUGAAAUAGUGUUUGCAGAGGGGUGGCAUCUUUCAACCAUCUUUUUUUACAAAUAGACUAACAGAGAGUUCUUUUGAUAGGGUUAUACUGUAGGAAUAAUCCCGUAUAAUAGAAUUGGAAGCCAAAUUUCCUGGAUUUGAGAUUUGAAUGAGCUCUUGUGCACAUAAAUGCUGUUGCCUAUGAGAGGGAGGAUGAAGAAGUAGAGCAUUUUGGAGGGUGAGGAAUAUAUGGUGGAGAUGGGAAGGAUGCACACUUAUGUGCAUGGAUUUGGUUGAUAGCACAUGCUGGAGCAUUUUUAUCAGAGAAGUGCUUUGCUUUUCUUCAUCUUCUUCUAGUUUUUCUUUCCAAUUAUCAACUACUAUUGAUUGAGAAGUAAAGAGGGGAAUCUUCUCAUCUAAUGAAAAUAGGGGCCAAAAACACACACACGCACACACUCAUUGAAAAGCAAUCCUCUCAUAGCUGACAUGGCCAAUUUAAUCCACAUUUAUAUUUGUGCUCCAAUUUGCCAAGAUGUUGGCCCAUAAAAGAUCUAUUUAUGGUAUUUGUAAAAGUUUGAGCACUCAGAUUGCUAAAUUAAAAUAAAGAAACAUAUCAAGACCUUCAACAAAAUUUUGUAGAUUGAGAAUACCGCAACAACACAGCAAGAUAGAAAGAAGGAUUAUUUUAAAUAGGAUGAUGAAUCAGUGCUCAUGUUCUUACCGUGUGUGCACACAGAAUCCUCGGGGUUAUUGAUAAAAUGAUAGAUGUCGAAACUCUGAGUAAAUUUUUUGAAUCACUGCCUUCCUUUUUAAUAUUAGCGUGUGCUGUGUUCCUUCAAUGAACAGGAAGUGCAUGAUUAUUUGAAGAGUCUUUGUCCUGAUCUGCAUAUUACUCGUGGUGAAUAUGAUGAAGAUUCACGUUAUCCAGAGACUAAAACCCUCACCAUUGGCCAAUUUAAGCUUGGAAUAUGCCAUGGUCACCAGGUCAUUCCAUGGGGUGACUUGGAUUCACUGGCAAUGUUACAGAGGCAGCUGGAUGUUGAUAUCCUAGUAACUGGUCACACCCAUCAGUUCAAAGCCUACAAGCAUGAGGGUGGUGUGGUUAUAAAUCCCGGCUCAGCCACUGGUGCCUACAGUAGUUUCACUUACGAUGUAAACCCAAGCUUUGUGCUGAUGGACAUUGACGGGUUGCGUGUUGUGGUUUAUGUUUACGAACUAAUAGAUGGGGAAGUAAAGGUUGACAAAAUUGAUUUCAAGAAGACAGCCACUACUCGUUCAUCAAGUUGACCCAUGUUCUAAUUAAUUAGUGAUUACUUUGACUUGUGGUAGUUCCUUAAAAUUUGUUUUGUCGUGGGGCCUUUUACUAGAGGUAGAAGCCUUGUUAUCGAGUUGCUAAAUCUAAGCAGAAUACAUAUUGAGAUGAAUAAAUGUGUUUUUUAUGAAACGUCUCUAGCGCCUCAAAAAUUCUAAUUUCAGGGGAGAAUUC
rnacentral:misc_RNA from 1 species